rnacentral:rRNA from 1 species
UACGUAGGGUGCUAGCGUUGUCCGGAUUUAUUGGGCGUAAAGAGCGUGUAGGCGGCCUGAAAGGUCAGCUGUGAAAACUCGAGGCUCAACCUCGAGACGCCGAUGGAAACCAUCAGACUAGAGUCCGGAAGAGGAGAGUGGAAUUCCUGGUGUAGCGGUGAAAUGCGCAGAUAUCAGGAAGAACACCCGUGGCUAAGGCGGCUCUCUAGUACGGUACUGACGCUGAGACGCGAAAGCGUGGGGAGCGAACAGG